AGUGAACGCUGGCGGUAGGCCUAACACAUGCAAGUCGAACGGCAGCACAGGAGAGCUUGCUCUCUGGGUGGCGAGUGGCGGACGGGUGAGGAAUACAUCGGAAUCUACUCUGUCGUGGGGGAUAACGUAGGGAAACAUACGCUAAUACCGCAUACGACCUACGGGUGAAAGCAGGGGACCUUCGGGCCUUGCGCGAUUGAAUGAGCCGAUGUCGGAUUAUCUAGUUGGCGGGGUAAAGGCCCACCAAGGCGACGAUCCGUAGCUGGUGCUGAGAGGAUGGUCAGCCACACUGGAACUGAGACACGGUCCAGACUCCUACGGGAGGCAGCAGUGGGGAAUAUUGGACAAUGGGCGCAAGCCUGAUCCAGCCAUACCGCGUGGGUGAAGAAGGCCUUCGGGCUGUAAAGCCCUUUUGUUGGGAAAGAAAUCCAGCUGGCUAAUACCCGGUUGGGAUGACGGUACCCAAAGAAUAAGCACCGGCUAACUUCGUGCCAGCAGCCGCCGUAA
rnacentral:rRNA from 1 species